AGAGUCUGGUGCCACGACUUUUACAGGGUAUAAACCCAGGACUCUGGGGAUGUUAUCCCAGGGAUGGCCCCUAGCCUAGAUGACAAGUGUAAGUGUUAAGGUCCGGGAUUUUACCCACCACCAAGGAAGACCCAUGGACAACGCAAUCAGGCAAAGAAAGGGCCGUUUAUUGAACUAAUGCGCACUAGUGGGAACUCAGCCAAAAGAGUUCUGAGUUCCCUCCUGAAGAUUCAGUCUUAAAUACUUUUCAGCAUGAAUAACCCCCCUCCCUUCCUCAUUCCAGGCCAUUAUCUGUUGCAUGCUCUUGUUGGAAAGUUUCCGAGUUUUUUUGCACCUGGGACCUUCGUCCUGAAGUUUAUCUGUUAGUAGUUGGGACCUUGGACAGGUCCCAAAGUUUUAUCUGUCUGUGGCUUAGCAUUUCCCUUGACUGAAUAUCUCAAGGCUUGGGCAAUUUCCAACUCAGAUCUCCUUUACAAGGAGGAAAAGUAUUUGGGGAUCCUCUCUACCACAUGGGGGAAAUCUAGGAGCAUGGAAAGAUGAGUGACAUUGCUAUAGCUAAAAGGAAUUCCCUGACCGAAUACAAUCAAGCAUAAGAAAGGAAUGCUAGCAAAAGGCUAGGGUGUAAGAGAGUGGGGUGCUUAUAGUGGAUACUGAAGAAUAGUCCUCGCCAGGUGUGGAUCUUCUUGGGAAAGGGUCUCUUGAUAAAAUUGGGGAGACUAUCUAACUACGAUUGUCAUUCUCCCGAGGGUCCCUCGUCAGUCUGAAACUGCUCACCUCGGAUUCCCUCAGGGAGGAUUCCCAUGGGAACAGGGAAGAAGUACAAACUUUGGGGUCUUCAACCUACAAGCUCCUCCGUAAAUCUGGGCUUCACCAGAUCCCAGUAGGCCACAAGUUUGGGAUUUCUAGAUUCCAUGUUGACACACCUUAUUGCCGAUGCUGUGAAUACAUCCACUGCAUCAAAUCAGGAAACAGUAGAAUCUGUAUUUGCCAAUGGUGGUCUGUUAAUGUAGAUACAGUAUCGUUUUUUUUUGCUGGAAGCAGAAUUGCUUGCACUUUGACCGUGAUGAAAAUCAGCGCACAGACUUGUAAAAUCCCAUGUGAUUCAUUGUCUGUUGUUUAUCAGGUUAUUUGUUGAACAGCUGUAAAAAUUAAAGGACAGCAAGAUGUAGAAAGUGUUCUAUUGAUGGACAGCACCGUGAAUCCUAUCUUGCAAAGACAGAGUUAAAAUUUUAGAACACUCUUUUGCUCUCACACCAAUCUCGCCAUUCCCGAGUCUGAGGGAAUAUCAAAGGACCAUGGCCUUCCCGGUUUUUCUAUUGUCAACCUGGAAUCAAGGAACCCCAAACUUGGGGCCUAGACGUAUCUGGUGUAGCCUGGAUUUCCGGAGGAGCUAAUAGAUUGGAGACUCCAAAGGUUGUACUUUUCCCUGAUCCCGUGAGAAUCCAGAGAGAUAGAGACAGACAGAUAGAAAGACCGAUAGGCAGGCCGACUGGCAGAUGGGUAGUGAGAUAGGUAGGAGGGCAGAUAGAUGGAUAUAGAGAUAGCACAUAGAGAGACACGUAGUCAAACACAGAAAGAGAGAUAGACAGGCAGGCAGACAGACAGAUCGAGAGAUAAAUAGAUAGGAACAUAGAACAAAAAGACAUAGAAACAGAAACAGAAUGUGAGAUUGAGACAUUGAAAGAUUAAUAGAACUACAGGAUGAGGGAAGGUGAAACAAAGGGACAGACAGAGACAGAUAGAUGGAAGGGCAUAUAGAGGGAAAAUGGAAUCGAGAGACAGAGAGAGACACAGAAAGUCAGGCAUAUCGAUAGACAGGUAGACAGGGAUACACAAAUAUCUCUCUCUAUCUGUCUCUCUGUCUCUCUAUGUACCUUUCUAUCUCUCUGUCUGUCGAUCUGUCUUUCUAUCUAUCUAUCUAUCUAUCUAUCUAUCUAUCUAUCUAUCUAUCUAUCGAUGUAUCUAUCGAUCUAUCUAUGUCUUUGUGUUCCUAUCGGUGUAGUUUAUGUAUCUAUCUGCCUGCUUGUUUUUGCAUGGAUCACACUGUGUGUAUGUCAUUUGUGUGUUUUAAAGUGUUGUGACAUCCUGGGGAACUACAACUCCCAAUGUGACCUAGUGGUAACAUCCCUUUGAGUCCUGGCUUGGGAUUGGUCUUGCAUUGGACCAAUCCUGUGUUGGGGGAUGGACUUUGUCUAUGGUCCCUCCUUAGCAUGGGAUUGGUCCAUCUCAAAACCAAUCCCAUGAAAGGGAACUGGGCAUCAUCUCUUACCCAGCAGGGGAUUGGUCAAAUUCAAGGCCAAUCCUUCUCAGGAAAUAAGAGGGAGGGAACCUUGUAGUAUGCUGGGAGAUAUAGUCCAGUAGGCCACAACCAUUGAAUACCCACCUGAUCUCUCCAUGUAGAAGGAGACAUAGACAGCUAGACUGACCCACAGAUUAUUUGAUCUGUUAUUCUGUCUAUUCGCCUACUGGUUCUUGUGUCUGUCAGCCUGUCUGUGUUUCUUUUGUGGGUUUUCAAGUGUAGUGACAGCCUCGGGAACUACAAGCCCCAUUGUGCCCCAGGGAUCUGUACCUUUUGAGUCCUGGCUUGGGAUUGGUCCGGAAUUCGAUCAAUCCUGUCGUCGGGGAGGGACAAUACCCAUGGCCCCUCCUUAGCCCAGAAUUGGUCCAUCUCUUUAGCAAUCACGCACAGUAAAGUAGGGAGCAUCAUUCCUCACCAAGCCUAGGAUUAGUGCAAUUCAAGACCAAUCCCAACCAGGAAAGAUGGGGGAGGGACCCCUGGAGCACACUGGGAAAUGCAGUUCUUCAGGCGACAACCUAAGAAGAGCAAAACUAUAUCUUGCUCUAUAUCCAUGUAGACUGAGAGAUGGACAAGGGGACCGACAGACAGGACGACUGACAGACAUAAGGCUUGGUUUAUCUGUUUCUCUGUCUUACUGCAUUCCUGUCUAUGUACCUGUCAGUCUGUCUAUCUGUCUGUUCAUCAGUCCUCUCUGGGUAUCUGUCUCUAUAUAAGUAAGUAUGUGUGUUUCUGUCUAUGUAUGCAUCUGUUUAUCUCUCGAUCUCCAGUGUCUGUCAAUCUGUCUGUCCAUUGGUCUGUCCCUCUAUGGAAUUCAUCAAUCAGUCGAUCUUUCCCAUUCUUCUUCUCAGCUGUCCACCCUAGAAAAUCAGAACAAGUGGUUGCUGGCAAGCAAAGCAUAUGAUGGUGUCCCUGUGAUGUUCAGGUGGCUCAGAAGAUGUAUUUGGUUCAAGAUUGGAGGGGGAGUGGCAGACCUCUACUUUGGCCAGUGAGCUGUCCACCCUAGAAAAUCAGAACAAGUGGUUGCUGGCAAGCAAAGCAUAUGAUGGUGUCCCUGUGAUGUUCAGGUGGCUCAGAAGAUGUAUUUGGUUCAAGAUUGGAGGGGGAGUGGCAGACCUCUACUUUGGCCAGUGAGCUGUCCACCCUAGAAAAUCAGAACAAGUGGUUGCUGGCAAGCAAAGCAUAUGAUGGUGUCCCUGUGAUGUUCAGGUGGCUCAGAAGAUGUAUUUGGUUCAAGAUUGGAGGGGGAGUGGCAGACCUCUACUUUGGCCAGUGAGCUGUCCACCCUAGAAAAUCAGAACAAGUGGUUGCUGGCAAGCAAAGCAUAUGAUGGUGUCCCUGUGAUGUUCAGGUGGCUCAGAAGAUGUAUUUGGUUCAAGAUUGGAGGGGGAGUGGCAGACCUCUACUUUGGCCAGUGAGGUGUCCACUCUAGAAAAUCAGGAUAAGUGGUUGCAGGCAAGCAAAGCAGGUGAUGGUGUCCCAGUUGGGUUCAGAUGGCUCAGAAGAUGUAUUUGGUUCAAGAUUGGAGGGGGAGUGGCAGACCUCCACUUUGGCCAGUGAGGCUCCAUCAUUUCUUUCCUAACGUCUUCUGAUUCGACUUUGAGACAACCCAGCACUGUGGAAUCUUUGCUGCGACUUCUCCAAUGGACAGAUGUUCCGUUCCAUCCUCUUAACGAGGUGUCCACUCUAGAAAAUCAGGAUAACUGAUUCCAGACAAGCAAAGCAUGUGAUGGUGCCCCAGUUGGGUUCAGAUGGCUCAGAAGAUGUAUUUGGUUCAAGAUUGGAGGGGGAGUGGCAGACCUCCACUUUGGCCAGUGAGGCUCCAUCAUUUCUUUCCUAACGUCUUCUGAUUCGACUUUGAGACAACCCAGCACUCUGGAAUCUUUGCUGCGACUUCUCCAAUGGACAGAUGUUCCGUUCCAUCCUCUUAACGAGGCUUCAUGAUUUCUUUCCUAACGUCUUCUGAUUCGACUUUGAGACAACCCAGCACUCUGGAAUCUUUGCUGCAACUUCUCCAAUGGACAGAUGUUCCUUUCCAUCCUCUUAACAAGGCUCCAUCAUUUCUUUCCUAACAUCUUCUGAUUCGACUUUGAGACAACCCAGCACUCUGGAAUCUUUGCUGUGACUUCUCCAAUGGACAGAUGUUCUGUUCCAUCCUCCUAAUGAGGUUUCCAUGCAAAAAUAUCGGAAUAAGUGGUUGUUGGCAAGCAAACCAUGUGAUGGUGUCCCUGUGAUGUUCAGGUGGCUCAGAAGAUGUAUUUGGUUCAAGAUUGGAGGGGGAGUGGCAGACCUCUACUUUGGCCAGUGAGGUGAGUGGCUGUUGCAGUUGAGCUGUUCCUCAGCUGCAGCCCCACCUUUCACUGCUUCUACUCACUCUUCUUUACCCUUUGAAUCAGAUGGCCAAAGAGAAACACCCCUUCCAUUAUGCUGCAGAUGCCAAGAACCAGCCCCAUGGCCUGGGCGCAAACCUCCUGCCCAAACCCCUUGUUUCUGGGUCCUUUCCUCAGUGCUGUCAAAUGAUAGCUAAUCCGCAGCAUGAAGGCAUGCUGUCUUGCUGUCCUUCCAAGGAGCAGCCUUUGCACCCAUGUUGUUCCACCUCGGCUGCCUCCUGACCACAUUCAACAUGACUUUCCAAAUCAAUAAAAUGUCUCUUUUUCUUUUGAA